UAGGGAAUCUUCCACAAUGGACGCAAGUCUGAUGGAGCAACGCCGCGUGAGUGAAGAAGGUUUUCGGAUCGUAAAGCUCUGUUGUUGGUGAAGAAGGAUAGAGGUAGUAACUGGUCUUUAUUUGACGGUAAUCAACCAGAAAGUCACGGCUAACUACGUGCCAG
rnacentral:rRNA from 1 species